AGGUCAAGUGGGAGCCUGAGACUCUGCAUUUCCAACACAUUCCCAAGGGAGGUGGUUGCUGCUGGUCUGGGAACCACACUGCAGCAAGGUUUUCGAGAAUUUUGGCCAGUGGAUCUGCUUUAUCCUGUGCCUUCCUCCUGCUGACUCUUUUGUUUACACAAGUCACCUCCCACCUCUACUCACGUCCUGAGUCUGAAAUUCUGAAUCCAUCUGCAUUGCUCAUGACAGCGUCAGAGCUCCUGAGGAGGGCUCCCGGGCUGGAGCAUGGGUGGGCCCUCCUCCCCCGGGGAGUGCUGAGUCCCAGUGUUCCCAGUCGACAGUCUCAACCCUGGGGAGCUUUGCACAAACACUGCUGGGGCUGCGUCUGAUCUGCAUUGUCCGAAACCCCCCCAAGAAAACAAACAUCCCCUCCGGAGCCAAGCACAGGGGCUGGUGGGGAUCGUGAGGGCUGCAGGAGGCACCGCUUGGUGAAGCGGUCAUCUACCUCCUACCAACAGGCCGUGGGGACACUCCCCACUCUGAAACCUCUGCAGUGCUGAUGUCAUCUCUCAAGCCCACGGCAAGACAAAUCACUAUUCUGCCACGUUUUCAUCCGGUGCCAUCUGGAAGCCCAGCCCUCACACGGGACAGCCUCCAGAAUAUAAAGAGGAAGUUACCCUUGACCCGCUCUGUGGAAAUUCCGGACAGUGGCCGAGAGUAGACAAAGGAAGAACUCUGAGAGUGGCAAUGCGGAGUAAGUGAUUGUUUCUGGGAGUGGGACAAUCCGAGCCACCCAAACCCCAGACGUGAAGGGAAAUUCAGUCUUCAAAAGGUCUUUCAUCGUAAUUUUUCCAUGAUGGAACCAGCUUCUCACUUAGUUGUUUAUCCCAGCAGAUACCAGCCUCCCAGGUGAUCCUAAUGCACAGCCCUGACUAGGAAGCCCAGCACCACGCCGCAGCCUCCUCGAGCAAGACUAUGUCCAGCUUUGGUUCGUAUCCCCAGUUCCAGAACAGGGCCUGACCCAUUCGAUCCUUCUCUAAAUGAAGUGAUGGCGGCUCAUCAUCUACGGCUGAAACGAUGCAGAGAUGUGUGAGGAACGAGGUCCCUUGCCUAUGGCCAUUCGCGCCCCUUGGCUUCUCUCCCGUCCUCAGCAUGUCAUCCCUGCUGACCCGCGUUCCUUCCUAAGUGGUAGCCACAUGCCCCCUUCCCAUCACCCAUCCUGGUUCUGCUGAGUCCCCUCUCGGUCCUCCGGGGCCUGUACCCACUCACUCACUUCUCUGAGUUAUCCUCUGUGGAGAAGGAACCAUUCCUUCUCCCUGUACUGGGAGCCCCUUAGGCCAGAUGCACCAAACUCAGACCAGGAGCGGAGGGUGCGAGUGCAUGCAUGCUGUCUCUCCACUGUCUUCUGCAUCUGCCUUCUUCGUCUAGGACAGUGUAUGUCCAGAACAAGCCCUCAGUAAAAGUUUCUUUGAAUUAAAAAAAAAAAAGUUACUAGGACAGGACUACAGGAAGGGAGGAGAGGAAGGCAUUCCAGGUGAAUUAAUUAACCAAGGAAAGACCUGAAGUAGUUGGAGUGUCCUUGGCUUGAGUACAAUAAUAGCAAAGGAAAAUUGAUUUUUAAGCCAAAAAUGUUCACACCUCCAUCCAUCACUGAAUAUAUGCCCCACCCAUUUUUACAGUCUUUCUCUGAAUCGUGCAUGCCAACAUAAACUACCAACUCUCUGGUCUUUCUCAAAGUAACCUGGAGAAAAAUGAGAAGGUGGAAUUCUCCAGGAAUGGAACAAAAAUUUCCAAGGCACCUGUUUUAGGUACAAAUACAAUGACCAAAAUUUUCUCAGCCCAAAUAGAAUAGCCUACUAGGUUCCCUUACUGGGAGAAGGCAACAGCCUGCUUGUAAUCAGGGUCAUCGUAGAAAACUCCAGCCUUAAAAGCUACAAAAAACAGUCCUGAUGGCUGAACUCCUGAGCUGAAAGUUAAAUGUUCUUAUACACUCAGAACAAGUAUGACUUCCCUGAUUUUAAGAAAAAGGAGAGAAUUAGUGUUUAUUAAGCACCUGAUACUGAAUAGCCUUAUGAAGGUUGUGUGCUCAGCACAUAAGCACUAAGCCGCACCCAGCCCGGUGAGGUUAUGUCCUUGUAUCCUGUUGCGGAGAUGAGGUACACAUGCCCAGAACCUUAGGAGACACACCCAAAAACACGCCAUCAGUGAACGGCACAGGCAAAAUGACCGUCGGGUCGCCCUGGCUGCAGCCUUGGACAUAGAUUCCAGAUUUACUACUGUUAUUGCUUUCCUGUAGGUCUUCCACAAUGAACCCCAGGAAGAGUCAUCAAGACCACAAGGGAGUAGGCCCCCCUCCUUCGCCUUCCUUUGAAAGGCCCCUCCACAGAAGCGAAGCGUGAGGAGAGAGACAGGAGGAGCAGUGUUUAAGGCAGGGAGGAGGGAGACCAAUGACUGGACAGAAAUUCUUAAAUUCACAGCUAUUAAGUCUUUAGGUCUAUGGGCUUAACGCCUGGAGGAAUGAUGUUUAAAAAAAAAAAAAAUAGA